rnacentral:piRNA from 1 species
AGGAUGGUAGAUGUGUUAGACCA